rnacentral:rRNA from 1 species
GGGCCAGACUCCUACGGGAGGCAGCAGUGAGGAAUAUUGGUCAAUGGUCGGGAGACUGAACCAGCCAAGCCGUGUGAGGGAGGAAGGUACAGAGUAUCGUAAACCUCUUUUGUCAGGGAACAAAGGCGGGGACGUGUCCCCGGAUGAGUGUACCUGAAGAAAAAGCAUCGGCUAACUCCGUGCCAGCAGCCGCGGUAAUACGGAGGAUGCGAGCGUUAUCCGGAUUUAUUGGGUUUAAAGGGUGCGUAGGCGGAAUAUCAAGUCAGCGGUAAAAAUUCGGGGCUCAACCCCGUCGUGCCGUUGAAACUGAUGUUCUUGAGUGGGCGAGAAGUACGCGGAAUGCGUGGUGUAGCGGUGAAAUGCAUAGAUAUCACGCAGAACUCCGAUUGCGAAGGCAGCGUACCGGCGCCCAACUGACGCUGAAGCACGAAGGCGUGGGCAUCGAACAGGAUUAGAUACCCGCGUA